rnacentral:misc_RNA from 1 species
CAGCAACUUUCAGGGGUAUAAAUUGAUCCAGCUGGACGAUGGAAAAGACACACUUGAACGCCAAGUAUCAGCUCAGCAGCAACUCAUCCUCAACAUGUACAAGUCAAUGACCCUUUUGGUUUUGGUGGCUUUGGCUGCUUGCGCUUUCGCCAUGGAGACCCAGGAUCAGGAAUCUGCUGAGCAAUACUACCGCGUUCAUGGUGUCUACCCAGCCUGGUACCAAUACGGCGUCAAUGCCUUCAACGGAGUCCGUGGCUACCCCGGCUUCACCGGCUACCCCUACGCCGGCUACCCUUACACCGGCUACCCCUUCACCGGUUACCCAUCUGCCGUCUACCCCGCCGCUGCUGCCUCCACUGUUGUUAAGAACGUCGCCUAUCCUUACCCCGGCUACCCUUAUGGCUUCAACACUUACCCAUAUGCCACUUACGGAGCCGUCCCAUACGUCGCCGCUGCCGCAGCUGCUGCUCCCGCCAAGGCCUAGAUUCGCUGCCGUUUAAAGCUGCCAACAUCAUCGACCUGAGCUGUGCUCAAAUUGAAUAUUUACUCACUUGAAAUCACCCGUGUUGACCACGAAAUUCGAACUUUGGAAACGUUUUUGCGAGAAUUUGUAAAUCAGACGAACAACAACAAACGUCGUUUAAACAAAAAUGUCUUCAAAUAAAUCAGACCAAUCAAUUCAA